rnacentral:rRNA from 1 species
AUUGAACGCUGGCGGCAGGCCUAACACAUGCAAGUCGAGCGGAGCGGCGGACGGGUGAGUGAUGCCUAGGACUCUGCCUGGUAGUGGGGGAUAACGUCCGGAACCGGGAGCUAAUACCGCAUCCUCUCAGAUGAGACUGGGUCGGAUUAGCUAGUUGGUGGGGUAAAGGCCUACCAAGGCGACGAUCCGUAGCUGGUCUGAGAGGAUGAGCAGUAACACUGGAACUGAGACACGGUCCAGACUCCUACGGGAGGCAGCAGUGGGGAAUAUUGGACAAUGGGCGCAAGCCUGAUGCAGCCAUGCCGCGUGUGUGAAGAAGGUCUUCGGGUUGUAAAGCACUUUAAGCUGGGAGGCGUUACCAACAGAAUAAGCACCGGCUAACUUCGUGCCAGCAGCCGCGGUAAUUC